rnacentral:rRNA from 1 species
GACAGAGGGGGCAAGCGUUGCUCGGAAUCACUGGGCGUAAAGGGCGCGUAGGCGGGAUGGCAAGUCAGUCGUGAAAUCUCUCGGCUCAACCGAGAAACGUCGGCUGAUACUGCCGUUCUUGAGGGAUGCAGAGGAGACUGGAAUUCCCGGUGUAGCGGUGAAAUGUGUAGAGAUCGGGAGGAACACCGGUGGCGAAGGCGGGUCUCUGGGCAUCUCCUGACGCUGAGGCGCGAAAGCUAGGGGAGCGAACGGG